GCUGCCAACAUAAAGUCCCAUACGUUGCAUGGAGACAACCCUGGGAAGGACCAGUUCUUCUCCUUUGGAAAGUACUUCAGAGGCCACUCAAGGGAUGGGGUAACAUCUCAGCUGCUUCUCCGUUGUUUAAAUGUCUCAAAUCAACUUUCUGCUGUUGUUUUCUCUACUUGUCCAUGUUCACUUUCCCUGUGCCCUAUGGCUGAUGAGAAAGUUCCUCUUUUCUAAGAGACCACUAUCUGGGAAAAUCAUGAAGAUCUGAAUUCAAUCUGCAGUGACAAUAGUAUCAUUUAUGAAUGGAGAGUCCUGCCUGUCUAACUUGCUGCCCAAUGCUUUCAUAUAGCUUAUAAUGCAUAUUGUAAAAUGCAUAACAUAUACUGCAUAAUACAAAAUGGCAAUAGAGAAAUUCGUAACCAUUUACAAACUACAAAAGUGGUCUGUAAAUGAGAAUGAACUACUUUAUAUGAUAAUUUAUUAUUUUAAACCUUUGUUCAAAGUUCACAGUAGACCAAUUGUCUUGUGAUUCUCCUAUAACCAGUGAGAAGUUAAUUCAUUGCUCUUUCCGAGCUAGUUGCAUACUCAAAAGUAGACAUGAGAGAACUUAAAGUAUUUUUUCUAUCAUGGGAGUAUGACUCAUACGCUUUUAUCUGUACUCAUUCUCUUGCCAGCAGUGUUGUUAAGUCUUCCAGAGAAAGAAGAUGACUAUACAAAUAAAUCUGAAAUUUUAUUAAAAUGCUCAUGUUCAUUUUAAUAAAUAAUAUAAUCUUUAAAUCUUAAGUGCAAGGGGGAAAAUGGUAUUUUUUUAUUCAGUAUCUUCUGCACUUCACAGUAGAAAAGAUAUCUGGAGUAUUAAGCAUUUUAAGCCAUAAUGGAGAUAUAUCUGGCAAUGCAGUUUCCUCUGAGUUACAAGAUAAAGAUCUUUGACCUGCUAGUUAGAGGCCUGCCAUAGUCCGGGCACUCCAUUCCUUUGCAUAGCAGUUGCAGGUCUUGUCUGCAUUACUCAUGUAGUUUAUAAGAUAUUCAAACAGUCUAGUCUUAUGUGUAAUGUUUGGUGUACUGUAACUGUAUCUAAGUUGACCCUUUGCCAGCAGUAUUCAGUGAGGAAAAAAAAAAAACAA